rnacentral:misc_RNA from 1 species
UCGGCUUUGUUCGCACCGGGAAUCUGCUGUUCGUAUCGGGCCAGGUCUGCAACACCCCGGAAGGCAAGCUGAUCGCCAAAGGCAAACUCGGCGCCGGCGUGACCACCGAGCAAGGCGCCGCCGCUGCACGCGGCUGUGCGAUCAACCUGCUGGCGCAGGUCAAGAUGGCGCUCGGCGAUCUCGACAAGGUUGCCCGCGUUGUG